GCCCAGCGGGCGGGCAGCGGGUGUCUAGACGGGCCGGCAAGCGGGAAGGUGACGUCCAGACAGGCAGGGGGUUACGGCGGUCGGCGGAGGGCGUGGUCUGUGGGCCUUGGGCGGCCGAGGUGUGGAAGCCCCCGCAAGGCACUCGGCGGCUCGGAACCCCUGCUUCCUUUUAUGUAAAGUGAGAUGUGAUUCAUCUCACACGGGUUAUUAAUAUCACCGUUUGCGCGUUACCCGACGCAGAAUCACCCCACCAGUCCCAUGAGGUGGAAGCCCUGUCCGCGCUGUACAAACGAGGAAGCGUGGCUCGGAGAGUCGAGUGGGCUCCCAAGUGGUGCUCUUGCCAGAGGAGUGGGUUUCGUGGACCCAGAGCUCGAAGCUGGGGGUUGAAAUCUGUCCCUGCCACGUAACGAUGGCGAGACGGAGGGCAGGUCGCCCCCGGCCUUAUGUCCGUUGAGGAAGUGGCGCUAACGAUACCAUCUUCUAGAGCUGCAGUCAGGUUAAAUUCGGUCAGUGGUUCCCAAACUCUUAGUCUCAAGACCACCUUAUUCUCUUUAAAAAUGAUUGAGGAAAAUAAAAUGAUUGAGGGCCUCAAAAAGUCUGCUAAUGUGCGUUAUAGCUAUCGAUAUGUCCCGUAUUAUAAAUGUGAAAUUUAAAAGAAUACUUUUCCUCUUAAAAAUAAACAUUACACUCUUAAAAACCUGUAUCUCCCAAAAAGACAGAGAAGAGUAGUAAUUGUUUUACAUUUUUAAAAAUCUUAAAAUUAUAAAGAUUCAUACAAGACAGCUGGAUUCUCGUAUCUGCUUCUGCAUUCACUCUGUUGCAGUAUACUGUUUUGAACUAUAUGAGGAAAAUCCAGCCUCAGAUACAUGGUCCAACAAGGAAGGAGCCACAGACCCAACUCCAAACAGCUUAGAGCAUCACUGGGCACCUGGCACGGCCUUGGAAAUGGUGAUGAAAUGAAGCCAUUGAGUCAGGGAAAUAAGCUGAUGGCUUUGAGGCCUGGCCCAGGUGGAAGGCUGCUCCGAACCCUCCCCACGGAUGGUUGAAAAAGAGAAAGAGCCCACUCAAUGGAGAUGCACUGGUGGACAAUGCCCACCCCAACCCCAACCAACUACAGGCAGAGAGAGAGGCGCUUUGAGAGAAUUAUGGUGGGGGAGGGGCAGGUAACACCGUGGAGAAGAGUGGUCCCAUCUGCAGUGGCCGGAAGGAAAGGCUAGAAAAGACAUCAGCAUUGGAAGAAAUACCUCUUUAUUCAGCCCA